rnacentral:rRNA from 1 species
UACGUAGGUGGCAAGCGUUGUCCGGAAUUACUGGGCGUAAAGGGCGCGUAGGCGGCCCGCUAAGUCGAACGUGAAAUCCCCGAGCUCAACUCGGGAACUGCGUCCGAUACUGGCGGGCUUGAAUCCGGGAGAGGGAUGCGGAAUUCCAGGUGUAGCGGUGAAAUGCGUAGAUAUCUGGAGGAACACCGGUGGCGAAGGCGGCAUCCUGGACCGGCAUUGACGCUGAGGCGCGAAAGCUAGGGGAGCAAACGGG